rnacentral:lncRNA from 1 species
GACAGUUUGAGAAAACCAGUCGGGCAGCCACCUUCCAAGCCACCCCAACGCCACCUCACGCCACCCCGACCCUCCGGACCGGACCCAGCAGCACCGGCCAGCUCCCGCCAUCAACCCCAGCCCGUCCGCCGCCCCUGCUGCUGUCUGGAGCCGCCGAAAACUGCUGGAAAACGCAGCAGUUUUGGCAAAUUUUCCAACCUCAGUUUCUCCUUCAUCCGGCCACCAAAUCAGUCGUGUGAGUCACCAGGAGUCCAGCUAACCCACAGGAGGGACCUUCGAAGGGUCCAGCUAGCUCGGACCAGCUGCCGUAGAAGUACGAAGGAAACCACUCGGGCCAUUUUCCCAGCUUUCGCCCCACCACC